GAUGAACGCUGGCGGCGUGCCUAAUACAUGCAAGUCGAGCGAACAGACGAGGAGCUUGCUCCUCUGACGUUAGCGGCGGACGGGUGAGUAACACGUGGAUAACCUACCUAUAAGACUGGGAUAACUUCGGGAAACCGGAGCUAAUACCGGAUAAUAUAUUGAACCGCAUGGUUCAAUAGUGUAAGACGGUUUUGCUGUCACUUAUAGAUGGAUCCGCGCCGCAUUAGCUAGUUGGUAAGGUAACGGCUUACCAAGGCGACGAUGCGUAGCCGACCUGAGAGGAUGAUCGGCCACACUGGAACUGAGACACGGUCCAGACUCCUACGGGAGGCAGCAGUAGGGAAUCUUCCGCAAUGGGCGAAAGCCUGACGGAGCAACGCCGCGUGAGUGAUGAAGGUCUUCGGAUCGUAAAACUCUGUUAUUAGGGAAGAACAAAUGUGUAAGUAACUAUGCACGUCUUGACGGUACCUAAUCAGAAAGCCACGGCUAACUACGUG
rnacentral:rRNA from 1 species